GCCAGUGUGGCAUAGUGGUUUGAGGAUUGGACUACAACUCUGGAUACUAGGGUUCAAAUCUCUACUUGAGCA